GCUCAGGACGAACGCUGGCGGCGUGCCUAAUACAUGCAAGUAGAACGCUGAGGACUGGUGCUUGCACUGGUCUAAGGAGUUGCGAACGGGUGAGUAACGCGUAGGUAACCUACCUCAUAGCGGGGGAUAACUAUUGGAAACGAUAGCUAAUACCGCAUGACAAUAGGGUACACAUGUACCCUAUUUAAAAGGGGCAAAUGCUUCACUAUGAGAUGGACCUGCGUUGUAUUAGCUAGUUGGUAAGGUAACGGCUUACCAAGGCGACGAUACAUAGCCGACCUGAGAGGGUGAUCGGCCACACUGGGACUGAGACACGGCCCAGACUCCUACGGGAGGCAGCAGUAGGGAAUCUUCGGCAAUGGGGGGAACCCUGACCGAGCAACGCCGCGUGAGUGAAGAAGGUUUUCGGAUCGUAAAGCUCUGUUGUUAGAGAAGAACGGUAA
rnacentral:rRNA from 1 species